rnacentral:rRNA from 1 species
GUCUUUUUGAUUAUAAUUUAAAGUCUAAUCUGCCCAAUGAAAUUUAAAAGGCCGCAGUAAUUUGACUGUGCAAAGGUAGCAUAAUAAUUAGUUUUUUAAUUGAAAGCUGGAAUGAAUGAUUGGACGAGAAAAUUUCUGUCUCUUAAUUAAUAAAGAAUUUAAUUUUUAAGUUAAAAAGCUUAAUUAAUUUUAAAAGACGAGAAGACCCUAUAGAGUUUUAUAUUAAUUUUUUUAAAAAUUUUUAGUAUAUUUUUUUUUAAUAAAUAUUAAUAUUUUAUUGGGGUGAUAAAAAAAUUAUUUAACUUUUUUAUUAUAAAACCAAUUAUAAUUGAUUUUUUGAUCCUUAAAAAAGAUUAUUAGAAAAAAUUACCUUAGGGAUAACAGCGUAAUUUUUUUGGAGAGUUCAUAUUAAUAGAAAAGAUUG